AGCUCCAAUAGCGUGUAUUAAAAAUUGUUGCGAUUAAAACGCUCUUAGUUGGAUAUCUGCCAAGGAGAUUCGGUCCUCCCCGGUGGAGAGUGCGCGGAACAUUUCUUGGCACUUGUUCAGGAAAGGUGUUUGCACUUUGUUGUGCGUCACACGAUCUGGGUUUUUACUUUGAGGGAAUGAGACUGUUUCAUGCAUGCUUUUGCCGCGAAUAUGAUAGCACGGAAUAAUAGAACAGGACCCCUUUCAACAGCUGUUGGUUUUUGGAACGAGGUAAUCAUAAUAAGGGCAGUUGGUGGUAUUCGUGUUUGACUGUCAGCGGUGAAAUGCAUGGACUUUUUAAACACGAACUACUGCGAAGGCAUCUGCCCAGGAUGCUUUUGUUG
rnacentral:rRNA from 1 species